rnacentral:tRNA from 2 species
GCGGAAGUAGCUCAGCUGGUAGAGCGUCAGCCUUCCAAGCUGAAUGUCGCCGGUUCGAACCCGGUCUUCCGCUCAA